AAACGUGCACGGAUACCGCUGAAGAGAUUAUAUCUAGCUCUAUGCCCACAAAGUGCACGAACAUUAAAUUCCAAACGUUUUUCGAUGAGCCUGCCCGUUUGAGUUUCGACGCAGGAACAGAUACGGAACUUACAAGC